GUCGAACGAGAUCUUCGGAUCUAGUGGCAGACGGGUGCGUAACGCGUGGCGAACCUGCCCUUUAGUAAGGAAUAACUUUAGGAAACUGAAGCUAAUACCUUAUAAUCCCCUCGGGGGAAAGCUUUAUGCGCUAAUGGAUGGGCCCGCGUUAGAUUAGCUUGUUGGUGAGGUAAAGGCUCACCAAGGCUACGAUCUAUAGCUGGUCUGAGAGGAUGAUCAGCCACACUGGGACUGAGACACGGCCCAGACUCCUACGGGAGGCAGCAGUGGGGAAUAUUGGACAAUGGGGGCAACCCUGAUCCAGCGAUGCCGCGUGAGUGAUAAAGGCCCUAGGGUUGUAAAACUCUUUCGCCAGGGAAGAUAAUGACGGUACCUGGUAAAGAAGAUCCGGCUAACUCCGUGCCAGCAGCCGCGGUAAUACGGAGGGAUCUAGCGUUAUUCGGAAUAACUGGGCGUAAAGCGAGCGUAGGCGGAUUUGUAAGUUGGAGGUGAAAUCCCAGGGCUUAACCCUGGAACUGCCUUCAAAACUACAUUUCUUGAGUUUGGUAGAGGAGAGUGGAAUUCCUAGUGUAGAGGUGAAAUUCGUAGAUAUUAGGAGGAACACCAGUGGCGAAGGCGACUCUCUGGGCCAAUACUGACGCUGAGGUUCGAAAGCGUGGGUAGCGAACAGGAUUAGAUACCCUGGUAGUCCACGCAGUAAACGAUGAGUGCUAGAUGUUGGGAACAUUAGUUUUCAGUAUCGCAGCUAACGCGUUAAGCACUCCGCCUGGGAAGUACGGCCGCAAGGCUAAAACUCAAAUGAAUUGA
rnacentral:rRNA from 1 species